ACAUGAGUCAAUAAUUACUACUACUAAUAGGUAUGAUAUGAGAUUCUUCCUGAUGCUGAGUAGCUGUACAGCUCGUCCGACCUUUAUAGGUAGUCCACUCAAAGCCCUGAUUGGAUCAUCCUUCUCAGGAGUGCUAGAUCGCAUAGAAGGCACUGGAUGGCUGGAAUAAGCUCCUUUCUUUGGAUCAUUCAGACUCUUUUGGAUCAGA
rnacentral:lncRNA from 1 species